rnacentral:lncRNA from 1 species
GGGUUAAACUGUCAACCCUUAUUAGAUCAUCCGAGUCGUGCUCAACUCAAUCAGUCCUGUGACUCCUCACUAGGACUACCCUGGCCAAGAUUUUGCUAAAUUGAAAUACGACUAUACACGGCUCCUGAACUGGAGUAGUCAAUCCCAUCUUGACACAUGCACCAACAAGUCAAGUACUUGACUACACCCAGCAGCCUUCCAUCACUGAAUUAGAAAUUCAGGAAGUCCAGUGCCUAAGUGCAGUGAGUUGCUUGCAAGUCAUCGUGGUGGUC